AACCCCUAAACUGAGAUACGUUGUAGAUUAGAAGAACGAUUUUUUUUAAAAUGUUUUUUGGACGAUCCAACCGUACAGAUGUUGGGGAAGGCGAUUUUAUUAACUAGAAAAAAUUCUCGGAUUUUUUAAAAAUUAUUUUCGGUGACAUUUUAAUAAAAGAAAUAGAAAGAAGAUAUAAUUUGUUAACAAUAUUUAUUAAUUUAAUUAUAAUCACAGUAUCACACAGAUUAGUCGAACACAAUUAUUGGGCUCUAACAGUUAGGUCGUUAUUUUCUUUCUCUUAUCCCUUACUUUCUUCUUUUUCUCCUCAGCGCUUCUCUUUCUUUCAUCUUUUCUCUGUUAAUUGUUUCAUCAGCUAAUUGUUUCAUCAGCUAAUUGUUUCAUCAAGGCCACCAUCUACACUUCAUUUUAGAUGGAUAGGUCAUUGUUACGAGCUGAUAGAAGAACAAAAGAGUUUCAAAGAGGCGUUGAAGAUUUAUUGUUGUUUGCAUAUGGAAAUGGGUAUACUGAAGAAAAGAUUAGCUGUCCCUGCACAAGGUGCGCACAUAGUAAAUCAUGGAAAGCUCAAACAGUUAAACAUCAUCUUUUUCAAUACGGUAUCGAUCAAACUUAUACACGUUGGAUAUGGCACGGGGAGUCAAAUUUAGUAGAAAGUCCUGUACCGACUGAAACAGGAAGUACUUCAGAAUCUAUUAAUCAGUUUUCCACAGGAAUGGAUAUACCUGAGGACCAUGAAGAUGAUAUUUCUUCAGAUUAUUCAGAUUUUAUCAACCAUGUUAAAGGUGAACAUCAGCCACUUUAUCCCGGAUGUGAGAGUUACACUAAGUUAAAAGCUUUAGUUAAGUUGUACAAUUUGAAAGCGAAGCAUGGUAUGUCUGAUGCAUGCUUCUCUGAUGUUCUACUACUAAUCGGGUCUAUGCUCCCGGAAGGAAACAAUAUUCCUUCUUCCUUCACUGAAGCGAAAAAAACCUUAUGUUCAUUAGGAAUGGGGUAUGAAAAGAUACACGCAUGUCCGAAUGAUUGUUUAUUAUACCGUGGUGAGAGAGAUGAGGAUGAGACUACAUGUCGUAUAUGUAAGGCCUCUAGAUGGAAAGUGAAUCGGAAAGGAGAGGAACUGGAAGGGGUACCUGCUAAGGUUUUAUGGUAUUUUCCGUUGAUACCGAGAUUAAGAAAUUUAUUCAGUACACUGCACAUUGCAAAAGAAAUGACUUGGCAUGACACUGGGCGACAAAAGGAUGGUAAAAUGAGGCAUCCAGCUGACUCAAAAACAUGGAAGGAUGUCGACCAAAACUGGCCCGAUUUUGCAUCAGAGACCAGGAACCUUCGACUAGCUUUAUCUGCUGAUGGUUUCAAUCCCUUUCAUGGAAACCGUACUGAUCACUCAACCUGGCCUGUUUUGCUAUCAAUUUACAACCUUCCUCCCUGGCUUUGUAUGAAGAGAAGAUAUAUUAUGCUCUGUUUAUUGAUAUCAGGACCAAUUGAAUCAGGAAAUGAUAUCGACGUGUACCUUCAACCACUUAUAGAAGAUUUACAAGAGUUGUGGCGAGGGAAACAAGUGUACGACGCAUAUAAGGAAGAAUCUUUCAUACUUAGGGGCAUUUUAUUAUGGACAAUAAGUGAUUAUCCAGCCUUAGGGAACUUGUCGGGAAACGUCGUUAAAGGUUAUAAUGCUUGUACUGUAUGCAUUGAUCAAACAAAAGCUACCAGGCUUGUUAAUUACCGCAAGACGGUGGUCAUGAGGCAUCGGAGGUGGUUGCCCCGUCAUCAUCCGUAUAGAAAGCAAAAAUCAGCUUUUGAUAACACUAUAGAGAAGGAGGGUGCUCCUAUUCCAUUAACUGGAGAGCAAGUUUUUCAAAGAGUACAACAUCUGAGGGGUCAUGUCUUUGGUAAGACACAACGCCCACUUCGAUGGAAGAAAGGUGAAGCUCGACCCAUAUGGAAGAAGGUUUCUAUAUUCUUCCAACUCGAGUAUUGGAAGUUUUUUCCAGUCAGGCAUGUCCUCGAUGUGAUGCACAUCGAGAAAAAUAUAUGUGAAGCUUUGAUUGGAACUUUGCUAAAUAUUCCGGGAAAGACAAAAGAUCGGGAGUCUGUCCGUCUUGACAUGGCUGAAAUGGGAAUAAGAACAGAGUUGAGGCCAAAAACUCCCGGAAAGAAAGAGAAGGUGCCGUUGGCGUCAUGGAACUUAUCACAUGCUGAAAAAAAAACUGUUUGCUCAUCCUUUCUUAAAAUGAAGUUACCGGAUGGAUUUUGUUCAAAUAUCAAGAAUCUGGUAAAUAUGGAAAAAUUACGACUUGUUGGAAUGAAAUCACAUGAUUGUCACACGAUAUUGCAUCAUUUGCUUCCAAUUUCCAUUCGAUCAGUACUGCAAAAAGAAGUCAGGUGCACAAUUAUUAAGUUUUGUCUCUUCUUCAAGGCAAUUUGUAGUAAAGACAUCGAUAUAGAUAAAUUGGAAAAAAUCCAAUCUCAGUUGGUGGAAACAUUAUGCCAGCUUGAAAAACACUUCCCUCCCUCCUUCUUUGAUGUGAUGAUCCAUCUCUCAAUUCAUCUCGUGAGAUAGGUUAAGCUUUGCGUGCCAAUAUUCCUACGUUGGAUGUAUCCUUUCGAAAGAUACAUGAAGACGUUUAAGGGAUAUGUACGGAAUCCAGCUCAUCCUGAAGGAUGUAUUGCCGAGGCAUAUGUUGCCGAAGAGGCCGUCGAGUGUUUGGUAAAUUUUGAAGAAGCUACCAUUGGAUUGCCGCGAAAUCCUAGGCAAGAGCAGAAUGAUGGCAGGCCCUUAUCUGGUGCAACUAUGAUAAAGCCAAUCAAUCACGACUUGCACCUAGCACACUUGUGUUUUUUGCAAAACAGUAAUGACAUAAGGCCAUAUUUUGAGGAGCAUAUGGCAUCUUUGAUGACGAGAUUCAAACACCAUGAAAAUGAUGAAGUCUGGUUAAAAAAUAAGCAAAAUGAUACAUUCCCCACAUGGUUCAGGAAAAAGAUUGAAUCAGAAUUGUUGGAUGAACACAAUACUAUAACUGACGAGAUAAGGUGGAUGGCAGAAGGCCCGAACAAGAUUGUGCCUACAUUUAGCGGAUAUAAAAUCAAUGGUGUUACUUAUAGCACGAAGGAGCGUGAUGAUAAACGGCAAGUUCAGUGCAGUGGUGUUUGUGUGGUUGCAGAUACAAUGCUUGUGCAGGGUAAGGAUAAGAAUAUUGAACAUACUUCGUACACCUACUUUGGAGUUAUAACAGGUAUCUGGGAGUUAGACUAUAACAACUUUCGAGUUCCUGUAUUUCUUUGUAAUUGGGUAGAUAUGAACAAAGGGGUUAAGGUAGAUAACAUGGGAUUUACACUAGUGAAUUUAAAUAAAUUAGGCUUUAUAAAUGAUCCUUUUGUUCUAGGUAAACAUGUUAAGCAAGUAUGUUACAUUGAGGAUCCUCUUGAAAAAAAUUGGUCUGUUGUGUUGAAAUUACCGGAAAAGAACUACUAUGACCACUGUGAUGACGAAAAUGAUGGAUCGGUAGAAAUAGAACUUGAGAAUGAGUUACAUGUGCCAACGUUCCCGAAUGAUGACGAACAUGACGAGGAAAAAGCUAGUUAUAUGAGGGACGAAGAAGAAUGGAUCCAACUUUCAUGAUGUGAAUGAUCCAAUUUUUUAGCCUCAUUUGAAACUACUUAAGGGCAAGAAAAUUUAGGUCAUUUAAUGAUGAUGGAACCUGCAGGGUUUACUGAUGAUGUUGAUCAAGGUGAGAUGAUGUUGAUCAAGCAGGAAGAAGAAAUUUUAACAGUUGAGCCAAUUUGGGUGGACACAUACCACUGUUUGAUCGCAUUCUUGUUUUCCUAGUUGGUGCUUUGUAUUCCACUGUAAUACGCUACUCUGCCAACAUACAUGUUAUGUUUUGUGUAGGCAGUAGGUUUAGUUUGUUUAUUUCUCGAUUCAUGGAUUAACUUGUAAAUUUGACAGCAGUAUUUAGUUUGUUGGAUGAAUGCAAUGUCCAUUAUUUACUCUCUUUAAAAUAAUGCAACAGCUGCAAUAAUGAUUGCAUUUUGCAGCUUUUGUAUUAUUUUAAAGAGAGUAACACUGGACAUGUAUGCUCUUAUCGCCAAACUUAGAAUUUAAAAGUUGAAACCAUGAUGAUGAAUAUAUAAGUUAAAUGUGAU